rnacentral:rRNA from 1 species
GAUGAACGCUGGCGGCGUGCCUAAUACAUGCAAGUCGAGCGAACGGACGAGAAGCUUGCUUCUCUGAUGUUAGCGGCGGACGGGUGAGUAACACGUGGAUAACCUACCUAUAAGACUGGGAUAACUUCGGGAAACCGGAGCUAAUACCGGAUGAUAUUUUGAACCGCAUGGUUCAAAAGUGAAAGACGGUCUUGCUGUCACUUAUAGAUGGAUCCGCGCUGCAUCAGCUAGUUGGUAAGGUAACGGCUUACCAAGGCAACGAUGCAUAGCCGACCUGAGAGGGUGAUCGGCCACACUGGAACUGAGACACGGUCCAGACUCCUACGGGAGGCAGCAGUAGGGAAUCUUCCGCAAUGGGCGAAAGCCUGACGGAGCAACGCCGCGUGAGUGAUGAAGGUCUUCGGAUCGUAAAACUCUGUUAUUAGGGAAGAACAUAUGUGUAAGUAACUGUGCACAUCUUGACGGUACCUAAUCAGAAAGCCACGGCUAACUACGUG